rnacentral:rRNA from 1 species
UACGAAGGGGGCUAGCGUUGCUCGGAAUCACUGGGCGUAAAGCGCACGUAGGCGGCUUUUUAAGUCGGGGGUGAAAUCCUGGAGCUCAACUCCAGAACUGCCUUUGAUACUGAGAAGCUUGAGUCCGGGAGAGGUGAGUGGAACUGCGAGUGUAGAGGUGAAAUUCGUAGAUAUUCGCAAGAACACCAGUGGCGAAGGCGGCUCACUGGACAGGUACUGACGCUGAGGUGCGAAAGCGUGGGGAGCAAACAGG